rnacentral:rRNA from 1 species
AACGAACGUUAGCGGCGCGCCUAACACAUGCAAGUCGCACGAGAAAGGGCUUCGGCCCCGGUAAAGUGGCGCACGGGUGAGUAACACGUGGGUAACCUGCCCUCGAGCGGGGGAUAACAUUCCGAAAGGAGUGCUAAUACCGCAUAAGACCACGACCCCGAAAGGGGACGAGGUAAAAGCUGGCCUCUAUACAUAAGCUAGCACUUGAGGAUGGGCCCGCGGCGCAUCAGGUAGUUGGUGAGGUAACGGCUCACCAAGCCUAAGACGCGUAGCUGGUCUGAGAGGAUGAUCAGCCACACUGGAACUGAGACACGGUCCAGACUCCUACGGGAGGCAGCAGUGGGGAAUCUUGCGCAAUGGGCGAAAGCCUGACGCAGCGACGCCGCGUGAGUGAUGAAGGCCUUCGGGUUGUAAAGCUCUGUGGGGCGAGAAGAAUUAGUGCAGCCUAAUACGUUGCAUGAUGACGGUAUCGCCUUAGCAAGCACCGGCUAACUCUGUGCCAGCCGCCGCGGUAACAC